GAUGAAGAACGCAGUGAAAUGCGAUACGUAAUGUGAAUUGCAGAAUUCAGUGAAUCAUCGAGUCUUUGAACGCACAUUGCGCCCCCUGGUAUUCCGGGGGGCAUGCCUGUUCGAGCGUCAUUUCACCACUCAAGCCUCGCUUGGUAUUGGGCAACGCGGUCCGCCGCGUGCCUCAAAUCGACCGGCUGGGUCUUCUGUCCCCUAAGCGUUGUGGAAACUAUUCGCUAAAGGGUGUUCGGGAGGCUACGCCGUAAAACAACCCCAUUUCUAAGGUUGACCUCGGAUCAGGUAGGGAUACCCGCUGAACUUAAGCAUAUCAAUAAGCGGAGGA
rnacentral:misc_RNA from 1 species